rnacentral:rRNA from 1 species
GGUGAUAAGCCGGAGGAAGGUGGGGAUGACGUCAAGUCCUCAUGGCCCUUACAGGCUGGGCUACACACGUGCUACAAUGGCAUCUACAGUGGGCAGCUAUUCCGCAAGGAUGCGCUAAUCUCCAAAAGAUGUCUCAGUUCGGAUUGUCCUCUGCAACUCGAGGGCAUGAAGGCGGAAUCGCUAGUAAUCGCGGAUCAGCAUGCCGCGGUGAAUACGUUCCCAGGCCUU